rnacentral:rRNA from 1 species
AGUAAAUAGAUACCCGGGUAGUCCACGCCGUAAACGAUGAGUACUAGGUGUAGGAGGUAUCGACUCCUUCUGUGCCGCAGUUAAACACAAUAAGUACUCCGCCUGGGAAGUACGGUCGCAAGAUUAAAACUCAAAGGAAUUGACGGGGGCCCGCACAAGCAGCGGAGCAUGUGGUUUAAAAUUCGAAGCAACGCGAAGAACCUUACCUAGACUUGACAUCCCCUGAAUAACGUAGAGAUACGCGAAGCCCUUCGGGGCAGGGAGACAGGUGGUGCAUGGUUGUCGUCAGCUCGUGUCGUGAGAUGUUGGGUUAAGUCCCGCAACGAGCGCAACCCUUAUCAUUAGUUGCUACCAUUUAGUUGAGCACUCUAGUGAGACUGCCC